GCCCGCCUAGCUCAAUAGAGCGUCAGACUUUUAUAUCAACUGUUAACAUUGAAAUCUGAAGGCUGCGAGUUCGACCCUCGCGGUGGGCU